GCUAUAAUGCAGUCGACGAACUCUGGUAUUGAUUGGUGCUUGCAUCAUGAUUUACAUUUGAGUGAGUGGCGAACUGGUGAGUAACACGUGGGAAACCUGCCCAGAAGCGGGGGAUAACACCUGGAAACAGAUGCUAAUACCGCAUAACAACUUGGACCGCAUGGUCCGAGUUUGAAAGAUGGCUUCGGCUAUCACUUUUGGAUGGUCCCGCGGCGUAUUAGCUAGAUGGUGGGGUAACGGCUCACCAUGGCAAUGAUACGUAGCCGACCUGAGAGGGUAAUCGGCCACAUUGGGACUGAGACACGGCCCAAACUCCUACGGGAGGCAGCAGUAGGGAAUCUUCCACAAUGGACGAAAGUCUGAUGGAGCAACGCCGCGUGAGUGAAGAAGGGUUUCGGCUCGUAAAACUCUGUUGUUAAAGAAGAACAUAUCUGAGAGUAACUGUUCAGGUAUUGACGGUAUUUAACCAGAAAGCCACGGCUAACUACGUGCCAGCAGCCGCGGUAAUACGUAGGUGGCAAGCGUUGUCCGGAUUUAUUGGGCGUAAAGCGAGCGCAGGCGGUUUUUUAAGUCUGAUGUGAAAGCCUUCGGCUCAACCGAAGAAGUGCAUCGGAAACUGGGAAACUUGAGUGCAGAAGAGGACAGUGGAACUCCAUGUGUAGCGGUGAAAUGCGUAGAUAUAUGGAAGAACACCAGUGGCGAAAGCGGCUGUCUGGUCUGUAACUGACGCUGAGCUCGAAAGUAUGGGUAGCAAACAGAUUAGAUACCCUGGUAGUCCAUACCCGUAAACGAUGAAUGCUAAGUGUUGGAGGGUUUCCGCCCUUCAGUGCUGCAGCUAACGCUUAAGCAUUCCGGCCUGGGAAGUACGGCCGCUAGGCUGAACUCAAGGAAUUGACGGGGCCC
rnacentral:rRNA from 2 species